rnacentral:rRNA from 1 species
AUUGAACGCUGGCGGCAGGCCUAACACAUGCAAGUCGAACGAGUGGCGGACAGGUGAGUAAUGUCUGGGAAAAUGCCUGAAGGAGGGGGAUAAAAACGGGAAACGGUAGCUAAUACCGCAUACCAUCAGAUGUGCCCAGAUGGGAUUAGAUUGUUGGUGGGGUAACGGCUCACCAAGGCGCCGAUCCCUAGCUGGUCUGAGAGGAUGACCAGCCACACUGGAACUGAGCCACGGUCCAGACUCCUACGGGAGGCAGCAGUGGGGAAUAUUGCACAAUGGGCGCAAGCCUGAUGCAGCCAUGCCGCGUGUAUGAAGAAGGCCUUCGGGUUGUAAAGUACUUUCAGCGGGGAGGCGUUACCCGCAGAAGAAGCACCGGCUAACUCCGUGCCAGCAGCCGCGGUAAUUC